CAAGAUGUAAAUAGUGGUUAUCACAAGGAGAGUAGGAUUAUAAGUAAUUUUAUCUAUAUAUUUUUUUCUUUUUGAGCAGGAAAAGUUUAAUAUAAAGAAUUAUUGACUGUAACAGGGCAACAGAGAAACAAGGAGUUGGCUAGUUAAAAGUAAAGAGAAUGCCAAAGAAUCUGAGAAUGGCAGGUAUGAGCAGCCACAACCCCUAUGUCUGAGAUCAAUUACCCAGGAAGAAGCCCUCUCAGAGCUCAGAUCUAGAUGUUGUUGGAGAUGGUACAGCUGUGGUUUAGUAGCUGGCAGGGAAGUUACCAUGCUGCUGUGCUGCUGUGCUGCUGUGAUGUUAAAACUUGCUUAAAAUCUGUUCUCUAGGAUGCUAGGGAACACUGUUCACUCGGAGGUGACUCACCAGAGACAUCCUGCUACAAAACCAACUGACAGGUCAGGGUGUUUGAGAAAUGUCUGGCCAUAGGAGCCUUGCCAAGAUGGCACACUGGAACCAGGAAGGAAAACCCAAUCCUUCUGCAACAUUGAGUAAUAUUCCAUUGUCUGGAUGUACCACAGUUUAUCCAUUCAUCUACUGGAGGACAUCUCAGUUGCUUUCAAAUUUUGGCAAUUAUGAAUAAAGCUGCUGUAAACAUCCAUGUGCAGGUUUUUGUGUGGACCUGAGUUUUCAGUUUAUUUGGGCAAACAUCAAUGAGUAUGAUUGCUGGAUCAUAUGGUAAGAGUAUGUUUGGUUUUAUAAAAAAGUACCCGGCCAGGCGCAGUGGCUCACGCCUGUAAUCCCAGCACUUUGGAAGGCUGAGGCAGGCGGAUCACGAGGUCAGGAGCUCAAGAGCAUCCGGGAUAACACGGUGAAACCCCGUCUCUACUAAAACCACAAAAAGUUAGCCGGGCGUGGUGGCUCAUGCCU
rnacentral:lncRNA from 1 species